GAUGAACGCUGGCGGCGUGCUUAACACAUGCAAGUCGAACGAAGCACUUUAUUUGAUUUCCUUCGGGACUGAUUAUUUUGUGACUGAGUGGCGGACGGGUGAGUAACGCGUGGGUAACCUGCCUUGUACAGGGGGAUAACAGUUGGAAACGGCUGCUAAUACCGCAUAAGCGCACAGCAUCGCAUGAUGCAGUGUGAAAAACUCCGGUGGUAUAAGAUGGACCCGCGUUGGAUUAGCUAGUUGGUGAGGUAACGGCCCACCAAGGCGACGAUCCAUAGCCGACCUGAUAGGGUGACCGGCAACAUUGGGACUGAGACACGGCCCAAACUCCUACGGGAAGCAGCAGUGGGGAAUAUUGCACAAUGGGCGAAAGCCUGAUGCAGCGACGCCGCGUGAGCGAAGAAGUAUUUCGGUAUGUAAAGCUCUAUCAGCAGGGAAGAUAAUGACGUUACCUGACUAAGAAGCACCGGCUAAAUACGUG
rnacentral:rRNA from 1 species